AAACAAGGGAAAGAAGGUAAAGGAAAGAAAAACCAUGGACGAACUUCCUUGUGCUCAUGCCUUCGUAGGAGCGUACCGUCACCCUCACUUGAAAACACCCAAUCAUAAUUGACCUUUGAGGCGGCUACUUCACCAACCGGUUAAUUUAUCACCCCACGGGGGAGCGCGCCCUAGCCCAGCUCCGAUCACCUUCUUCUUCAAUUCGCGGGAAGAGGCCUCGUUGCUCUGCAACUUGUAAUUCCUCAACAACAAUGUAUCCAUAAUAUUUCUCCAAUCUUAAUUUACAAGGAUCUGUUUUCUUCAAUACUGCAUAACUUGUAGCCUUCCUUGAAUUUUUGUUUUGGAAGUUUGAAACUCAUGGAAUCGGACGAAGAAGAUUUCAUAUUCUAUGGAACCCCAAUUGAGCGGGAGGAAGAAAUCAACAGCCGUAAAAAGAAAUCUGUGGCUGACGCUUCGGGUACCAUGCGAAGCCUCCCACACUGGAAACAAGAGGUUAGAGAUGAGGAAGGGCGUAGAAGAUUUCAUGGGGCAUUCACCGGAGGAUUUUCUGCUGGCCAUUACAAUACAGUGGGCUCAAAAGAAGGUUGGACUCCACAGUCAUUUACGUCGUCCCGAAAGAAUCGAGCUGAAGUCAAGCAACAAAACAUUUUAAAUUUCUUAGACGAAGAUGAAAAAGCUGAAUUGGAAGGUCGAGGCCUGGGGACAGCAUCUCAGUUUGAUACAUUUGGGUUCACAGCAGUAGAACUUGCUCGUAAACAAGCUGACAAGGAGCAACAACAGAGGCCGUCUGCUAUUCCUGGACCUGUUCCUGAUGAAUUAAUUGUUCCAGCUGCAGAAUCCAUAGGUGUGAAGUUACUAUUAAAGAUGGGAUGGCGGCAUGGACGUGCAAUAAAGGACUCACGAGCUAAUUCUCUUUAUGAUGCUCGAAGGGAUGCUCGAAAAGCGUUUCUAGCAUUUUCAAUGGGUGAUGCCAAAUCAGAAAUCCCCAAUUCUGAAUCAUUUCAGGAGGAUGAUGAUAUUGUUUCUCCUCAAUCGGCCAAGGGUGAUAUUUCGUCUUCUCAAAGCACACCAGUUUAUGUGAUCAACCCAAAACAAGAUUUGCAUGGUUUAGGUUUUGAUCCUUACAAGCAUGCACCAGAGUUUAGGGAAAAGAAAAGAGCACGCACAACUGGGAAUCAGGAAGGUUACAAAAAAGUUUUCUCCACAAAGAAUAAUCUUUUUGGCUUUAGGACUGAGAGGAUUGCUUCUGGCUUUGGCAUUGGUGCGCUUGAAGAACUUGAUGUUGAAGAUGAGGAUGUUUAUACCUCUGGUUAUGAGUUUGAGGAAACAUAUGUGCAAGAAGACGAUGAGCCACCUUCUAAAUUGAUCACAGAUGGCAAACAAAAGUUGAUUGGAAGAAAAGUUGAGGGUGUCUUGCUUGGAUUCAGAAUUGCUUCAAAAUCUGACUACCAGUUGGAGAGGUUUGAUCCUCCUGUAAUACCUAAGGACUUUAUACCCCACCACAAAUUUGCGGGGCCUCUCAAUGGAGGCUAUAAGCUUGCUGAUACCCCUCCUGUCGAGGUUUCUCCUCCUGAGGAUAAUAAUCUGAAACUUCUAAUUGAAGGGGUGGCAACUUUGGUUGCUCGCUGUGGAAAAUUAUUUGAGGAUCUCUCUAGAGAAAAAAAUAAGUCAAAUCCAUUAUUUAGUUUUCUUAGUGGAGGAACUGGCCAUGAAUAUUAUUCAAGGAAGCUAUGGGAGGAGCAACUGAAGCGCGUGGACCAACCUAAGCCUCAAUUUGAUGAUAAAUUGUCCCCAAGCCUGGAGAAGAUGACAGCUGAAAGUCGUGGAAAAAUACUUGGUGAGAAGCCUUUGGCAAGAAGCUCUAAAGGGUUAAAUCCACCCGCAGCUUCUGAUGGCGUGCAUGUCCAAUACAAUCUUUCGGAUACAUUUACUAAAUCUACAUCAUCCGGUGGGAUGCCAGAGGUUGUCAAACCUUUCAAGGAUGAUCCAGCUAAGCAGGAAAGAUUUGAGCAUUUUUUAAAGGAAAAGUAUCAAGGAGGCCUGCGCACUGGUGCUCCUGUUGGAGCUAUUAACAUGUCAGAAGCAGCUCGUGCACGUGAACGCUUGGACUUUGAGGCUGCUGCAGAGGCGAUUGAGAAAGGGAAAGGGUUGAAAGAAUCUAAGCUCUCUGCCGAGCACUUUGUGGAUUUUUUAGCCACUGGAGGAAUGCAGUUUACCUCUGGUGGUGUAGAGGAAGUCAAAGAUACAAAGCUAGAAGGUUUAAUGAUGGAGAAAAUGUUCCCAAAACGGGAAGAAUAUCAGUGGCGUCCUACUCCUAUUCUGUGCAAGCGGUUUGAUCUAAUUGAUCCCUACAUGGGGAAGCCACCACCAGCCCCUAGGAUGAGGAGCAAGUUGGAUACACUUAUUUUCACAUCAAAUUCUGUCAAAUCUACAAAGAUUGAACAAGCUUCAACAACCACCUCUUCUUCAUUAUCUCAAUCGAAUGCUGAAGAAAAAGACAGAGAUGCACCUGAAAAUGUAAAUGAAAAAGUGGAAGUUGAAUGUGUUGAUCGGCCUGUUGAUCUAUAUAAGGCUAUUUUCUCUGAUGAGUCAGAUGACGAAGAGAGUACGUCAACUCUCAAGCAAGCUGAGGAUCCUAAUAAGAAAGUUGAAGUGGCUAAUACAACACUAAAUCGUUUGAUCGUGGGUGACUUUCUUGAAUCUUUGGGUAAAGAACUGGGCUUGGAAGUGCCUCCAGAUCUGCCUCCAUCAAAGAAAGGCCAAACUGCAGCUCCUCAGACAGAAGCUGUACCUGUUGGUGAACAAAAUACGAAUAUCCUUUCAGUUGAAGAUAAGCCUUAUCCCACUCCAUCUUCCACUAGGAUUCUAUCGGACCAUCGAACGACAGGCACCAUGGAACUUGAUCUAAAUGGCAGAAAAGAAGACGAUGAACACAAUCAUAACUCUACUGUAAGUGGUGGUAAAAUUAUGGAGACCAGUUCUUCGAAGAAAACUUUGGGUAAAGUUUAUGAAGAAAAGAUGUACAAGGACAAGGGGGAUAGGAAGGCUAAUAACAGGAGAGUUGACGACAUUCAUCGUGAUCAUAGCAACAGCUCAUCAUCGGAAGAUGAAAAGAGAAGAAAACGUUCGAGGAGGCGAAGGUAUAAAAGUAGCGACUCAGAGGAUAGUGGAUCAAGUGAUUAUCAUAUGAAAGAGCACUCUAGAUCACGAGAUAGAAAGAAAGGAUCUUCUCAAGAAAAGAAGAGCCGUAGAAAACAUUCAAAACAUCACAAGCACAGACAUAGAGAUUCUUCCCCUAGAGAUCAUCAUCGCUUUGGAAAAGAUCGUACAACAUCCGAGAGAGAGAAACAUAGAUGGAGAGAUUGAAAAAAUGGGGCUGUGUUACCUUGGUUUUGCUUCGGAAGUUGAAACUACCCACUAUGAAACAUCAGAUUUCCAAAUAGCAAUGUCCAACGAAGGAAAUCCAGUUUCAGCAUCACUGCAUCAGAAGAUCCACAAUCUCUUAGUUUCCACUCGCAGAUGACUAGUCAUGCAGCUUCUUCGUUAAGGAAUGCUAAAUUGUUCUCUCUAAACUUCAAGGGCUCUACGGAUUCAAAUUUCUUGAGAUACAAAGGAGUAUAUGCUUUUACAACUUCUUCAAUGCUUCUCUGAGAAGUUAGGUGAUGUACGUGAUGUCAAGCUAUCAAGGUUCUUCAGGUCGUCGUUUGCAAUCAUUUGAACUUGCGACAUUCAGACGUCGCUGUGUUCUUGGAUUCUUCUGGGUCAGUGUUAAAUUGUACAAGGAUCAUGUUCAUAAUGUUAAUUGACGAGAAAUAUACCUUCUUAUGUUGGUUUUUGUUUAGUUACAAAUAUGUUUGGAGAACCUUGACAUGGAGUGUGAUGUAAGACUCUUCGUUGGUUCUUCUAUAGAUCAAUAUGGAAAACUAGGAUCCUAACCUAUUUUGUGAAGAAAUGAAAUCCUUAGAAUGUACUGCUACUUAUAA